ACCUCAGGGUAGCUCAGUUGGUAGAGCAUGAGAAUCUUAAUCUCAGGGUUGUGGGUAUGAGCCCCAUGUUGGGUA